UACGAAGGGGGCUAGCGUUGUUCGGAUUUACUGGGCGUAAAGCGCACGUAGGCGGGUCGUUAAGUCGGGGGUGAAAUCCUGGAGCUCAACUCCAGAACUGCCUUCGAUACUGGCGACCUAGAGUCCGGAAGAGGUGAGUGGAACUCCUAGUGUAGAGGUGGAACUCGUAGAUAUUAGGAAGAACACCAGUGGCGAAGGCGGCUCACUGGUCCGGUACUGACGCUGAGGUGCGAAAGCGUGGGGAGCAAACAGG
rnacentral:rRNA from 1 species